rnacentral:lncRNA from 1 species
AAACAAACAAAAAAACCUGUAAAUAACUAGGCAGAGGCUCAUUCAAAGAGAGAGAGCCUGAAGUCCAAAGAAGCGAUUUACUCAAAGCCUUAGCAUCAAUACAUUGAGAACAAGAACCCCCGGGUGCCUCGCGACAGCUUAACAAGACUUGAAUUGGCGAAGACUCUUCCAUAGUGAACAGUGGGUAACACACUUAAGGGUCACUUAUGUGGGGUGCUCAAGGACACAGGGCCAGAACUAGCAGCUCUGCAGUCUCAGGUCUGGUAAACUGAGGCCACAGCACUGCAGAGGUCAAGAGCUGAAGCUCCUGAGCCGGUCUGCCCAGGGUGGAAUCGCAACUCCUGCCCUUCUAGUGGUGUGAUUUCGGAGUUGCUCAGUCUUCCUAUGACUCCUCAGAUUCCUCAAUUAUAAAACAAGGACUGUCAAAAUAAGGGAUGCUGUGAGAAUUCAAAGAGUUAACGUAACAAGAAGUGUCCGAUCAGCAAGGUGGCACCAAAGCAAGCACUCAAAAAACAACAACAAAAAAGUUAUUAAAACACCACACAGACCAACUGACCACGCACACAGAGCCAAUUUCUUAAGACGGCCAAACUUGGCUAGUUUGGAUCACCAGACAACCUGAGAGGUGGAAUUAGGGAUUCUCUGGCAGGGCUGAAAGUCCAGGCCUGCAGUUCGGCGCUGAUGCGCACUAUGACCUGACCUUGGAAGCCUUUUCGCCCUUCAGGACAGAUCUCAGACGCAGGCUAGUCAGCGAGGAAACGCACCGCAAACGUGUGUGCGCCAGCCAGACUCUUUCGCGUUAUUUUUUUAUUCUGGGGGAGACUGGGUAAAAGCACUUGGCUCGAACGCCGCAGCUGUCAGGAGGGCACCCUUCUCUCCUGGCCUAGGGUUCUUUGCUAAUCUGCAGUCUCCCAAUGAGUCUCGGGAGGAUCUGCCUUCGAUUUCUGCACAGCGGCUCCGGAAAAUGAAGGCGGGCAGGAGACGCUCGCCUCGGAGGCUGGACUCGCUCCAGAGGCGGGACGACUCCACGAGACUCUCGGGGACCAGACAGAGCCGCGGGAGGCUCCCGGUGGCCUUGACCUUGGUGUCCGAGGCUCAGUUUUCCGUCCCCCCGGCUCGGGGUGGUGACACAGCCUGGCCUGGGCCAAAGCAGGCUUCAAGCCUAUUGGUUGGUACCACCCGACCCCCAGGGUGGGUCUUCCAUUGUCAUCUGUAAGUCCGUCAUCCAAACACACCCAGAACUGUGAUGAACCAAUCAGCUAGGUGUUUCUUGUUCAAAUUGAUGCCAAAUGAAUUCUGAGAUGGAAGAGACAGCUGACUCCAUGUCUGGUGAGGGCCACUUCUCCAUUCAUCCUCUGCCUUCUUGUUGUAUUCUCACUGGUGGAAAGGGUAGGGGCAUCUCUGGGGUCCCCUUGAUAAGAACACUAAUCCCAUUCAUGAGGACUCAACCCUCACAAGCCUUUUACUCCCCCAAAGCUCCACUUCCUAUUGCUGGAUGUUGGGGUGGGAUUUCAAUGUAUCAGUCUGGAGAGAUGCAGGCGUCCUGACCUGAGCACUGCCUGCCUCCCUUCCCUACCUAGUGGGAAGCCUGGGAGGUGAUAGCAAAGCCAGCUUUGUGGCUGGGGAUGGUUGCAUGGGAACCUGACUUGACCUCAAGAGUAAGGUCAGGUUUGAAGAGAUGCGUCCUUUAAAACUAAAUGUUGAGGGGGCUGGGUAUUUAGCUCAGUUGUUCUGCCAUCUGCCUUGUGAGCGCAAGGUCCCGCGUUCAAUCUCCAGUACCAAAACAAAAAAACAAAAAAACUAAAUGCUAGGGUAAAAGAAACACUUUUGGUUGUGUUUUCUUCUAACUUUUAAUUUUUUUUGGUACUGGGGAUCGAACUCGGGACCUUCUGAUUGCAAGGCAGGCGGUGGCACCACGGAGCUAAUUCCCAGCCCUCUUUUUUUUGUAAGACAGGGUCUCCUCAUGUAAUUCAGGCUGGCCUGGAACUUGUUAUAGCCCAGACUGGUCUUGAACUCAUGGUGCGCCUCCUGCCUCAGCCUCCUGAGUGCUGGGAUGGUGUGGCUGGCCGAUCCUAAUUAGUUUUCACACCAGCAUUUUAUCUUACAAAAAUCUUAGGAGUCCUUGAGGGGAGAGGGCAAUGGCAUUGUUAUUUAAUGGGUGCAGAGUUUCAGUUUGCAAGAUGAGAAAGUUCUAGAAGGCAGUGAUACCUGUAGUCUCAGCUACUGGGAAGGCUGAGGCAGGAGGAUCCUUGAGCCUGGAAGUUCAAGACCAACACAAGAGACCCUGUCUCAAAAAAUAAAAAAGGUAAUUUUCCCUGGGUCCUGGAGAGGAACCCAAGGCUUUCUCCAUGCUAAGGUGCGGGGUCUGCCACUGAGCUGCACCGCUGGUCCCAAGUAGGGUCCAUAUUGUAUAUAUUUCAUCAGCAUGAAAAUUAAAAAACAUGUUUGGAGCUUUGACUUCUCGAUGUGGGAGCUCUUGAAUCCAGAGCCCUUAUUUUCCUUCUUACCACUACCCAGGGAGCCACGCUGGAGGUGGAAACGCCACUGGCCAGGGAGGGAAGUUCGGGCCACUGCUGGCGGCCACAUCUGCCACCCAGCACUUGUGGCUUCCGGAUGUGCUCGGCUUCCAGGAAGCGCAGCUUUGCCUGUGUAGUGCCAUCCCCGCCUGGCACACCGGCACUGUGUAGCAUCUGCAGAUAUUGCUGACCCUGGUGGUGGUGGGGGUCACACCUGCUGGAGAUCCACACGAGGACAAAGGGUCCGUGAACCUCAAAGAUCUCAAUGCCCACUUGCUUCUCGAAUAAAACAAUUGAAAACUAUUUAGCUGGACCUGAAGAAUGUUUUCUAUGUAGCUGGGUGUGACGGUGCACACCUGUGAUCCUAGCAUUCUGGGAGGCAGAGGCAGGAAGAUCAAAAAAUUCGCGCUUCGCCUAGGCAACUUAGUGGCUUUGCCAGACCCUGUCUCAAAAUAAAAAAUAAAAAAGUAAGUAAAAAGAAUUAAGAUGUGUUAUGUACAUGAACAAACUCUCCACAGUGAAAGUAAUCAUUAUUUACUGCAAACAUGGACUAAUAAAAAUAAAAAUUAAAAAUCUAUUAUUCCUGGAAAAAAUGGGCUGGAGAUGUAGCUCAGUGUGAAGGCCCUGAGUUGAGUCCCCAGUAUCACCGCCUAAAAUUUUUUUUUUUUUACUUUGUGCCGGCCACUGUGUUACCUGACCAGUUAUCUCAUUUAACCAAGUCAGUUCUCUGCACCAUUAUGAACAGCAUUGUUUUACAGUUAAGCACACUGGGUUUAGAGAAGUUAAGUCCUUGCUCAUCAAGCUAGGGAGAUCAAGAAGCCAGGAUCUAGAUUCUGGUUUUUCUUUUCUUUCCUUUUUUUUUUUUUUUUUUUGAGGCAGGGUCUCACUAUGUAGCCCAGGCUGGCCUUGAACUCAAGGCAAUCUCCUGCCUCACCCUCCUGAGUGCCAGGGCUAUGGGCAUAGCCAUCAGGCUGGGCCCCAGUUUUUAUUUUAAUUACUGCCCAUUUAUUUAUUUAUUUACUCAUUCAUUCAUUCAUUCUCUUGUAGAUUAAUUUGUAUGUUGAUAUUUCAGGAGACUUUUGGAUAUCCAUGUGAUAAAAGCAGCUUUAUUUUAAAAUUCCCUGGGAUCUUCGGAGGGUACAGAUGUUAUCUAUGACCCAGAGGCAGGGAAUGUUACAUCGUCCACACAACAGCUCUGGCUCUGAGCUGCAGUCUCUGUGAGUUAGAAGAUAUGGGCGUGCAUUACUGUGUGUGCCGGAAGGAAGCUGGUUUCCCGGCCACAGCCCAGGCCCCCUCUUCCCAGCUGUGACAACGUGUGAGUGCAGUUUCACCAGCAGAGGGCAGACUUGAGGUCCCAGUGAGCGGGUGGGCAGUGCAAGCCGCCCCUGGAGGGUCAGCACAGAGCUAGGAGGGUUUCAGGACAUGACACUUGUCUGUUUGUCCAGAGGUGGCUGGUUUUAGACUUUGGGGACAAAGUAUGAGAUGUUCCUGUUUUUUUAAAAAAAUCCAUGACCAGC